rnacentral:tRNA from 1 species
AGGGAAAUAGCUCAGUGGUAGAGCACAUGCUUAGCAUGCACAAGGUCCUGAGUUCAAUUCCCAGUACCUCCA